rnacentral:rRNA from 1 species
GUGAACGCUGGCGGUAGGCCUAACCCCUGCAAGUCGCACGGCAGCACAGUAAGAGCUUGCUCUUACGGGUGGCGAGUGGCGGACGGGUGAGGAAUACAUCGGAAUCUACUUUUUCGUGGGGGAUAACGUAGGGAAACUUACGCUAAUACCGCAUACGACCUACGGGUGAAAGCAGGGGAUCUUCGGACCUUGCGCGAUUGAAUGAGCCGAUGUCGGAUUAGCUAGUUGGCGGGGUAAAGGCCCACCAAGGCGACGAUCCGUAGCUGGUCUGAGAGGAUGAUCAGCCACACUGGAACUGAGACACGGUCCAGACUCCUACGGGAGGCAGCAGUGGGGAAUAUUGGACAAUGGGCGCAAGUCUGAUCCAGCCAUACCGCGUGGGUGAAGAAGGCCUUCGGGUUGUAAAGCCCUUUUGUUGGGAAAGAAAAGCAGCAGGUUAAUACCCCGCUGUUCUGACGGUACCCAAAGAAUAAGCACCGGCUAACUUCGUG